UAUUGUCAUACAGCAUAUGGGUGUUUCUUCUAAUUCAAAAGUUAGCUAAUUAAAACUAGCAUGUUAACUAUACUAUUAACUAUUAACUUAGCUUUUCUUUUUGUAAUAUGAAGGUCAUAUUAAAAUUGUCUUGGAAACUUCAUUUAUUUUUGCUACUUUUCAAAUGUCUUUUAUUUAUUUUAUUCAUUUACUCUUUUCCCAGACCCAGAUUUUUACUCUUAAAGUAUUAAAAUACAUAAUUCAAAUCUAAAAUGGUCCUUUUUGUCAUUUAAAAAUACCAACUUUAAGGGUAACAUAUAUUAUUCAUUGUUAGUUCAUGUUAACUAAUGUAGAUUGUAAUGUUAAAAAAUGGAACUUUAUUGUAAAGUGUUACCAGCAAAAUAGUAAAAUAAAUAAUUUAAUUAUCGUGUGAAAAAUCAAAAAUUUAAUCUGUAUCUCAGGUAGAUGUUAUUUCAACAACAAGCAAUUUUUCAUUUUGUUUAUUUUUUAAAAGUUGGCUGUCAUCUGUAACAUAACAUUUUAAAUUAAACUUAUUAUCUAUUGACUGUGAACCUGUGAAUCAUUACUGUUUUUUAGUACUGUCUGUCUGAUGUCAGUCUGUCUAUCUAAUUAAGAUGACUCAACUCAAAAAGUAUAUUGUGACGAAAUAACCUUGACCACAGUGCCAUGACAGUGUUUCUAAGUAUCUUUAUACGCAUGUAAGUGGUGUACGAAAGGCGGGUGUACGGAAGUGUGUGACUGUACGUAAAUUUAUGAAUGAUGUGAUCUUUCUGUCAUUGAGUAUGAAAAAAACAGACUUCCUUCUCUACGGUCAGAGCAGCUGCACCAAAACCAAACUCAGUCUCAUACACACACACACACAUACAUGCUUCCAGGAUGCAGUAAAUCUUUUUAGUGAAACACCAAAUCCACAUUUCUGGAUAAUACAAACUGAUAUUUUGAUUUGAAUUAAGAUCGUAUGAAGCUUUUCACUGAAGCCUGAAUCAUAUGCUAAUAAACAGUUUCCAAAUCUGUCAGUGAAAUAAAGAGCCUCUUGUUCGCUAUAAUACCAGCAUGCCACAGGAAGGCUACGGCUGAGUUGUGUUCAGUGUAAGUUGUUUACCUUAAAUGUGUUUUCUGCUGCUAUUAGAUAGUAAGAACAUGUUUCAGCAGAUAAAUUAAAGUACAGUUGUGUAUGAAAUAUUAUCUCUCUUUUUUUUAUUAGAAUGUCAGUGAGUUCAGAUAGCAGUUGCUCAACAUGAACUCAUAUGCUCUAAAUGAGUGUGUGCAUGUGUGUACCCUGUCAGGUUUCUGACCUGGACAUGUAGCUGUAAUCGCUGUGAUUCAUUAGAGGCAUGUGCACAAAUUCCACACACAUUCUCUCUACCAGAAAGCCUAUUAACUUCGAAAAGGUGGAGCGAUGAGGGAGAGAGGGGGAUGGGGUUAGGAAGAAAAAGGAGGUGAUUGUUGGGGAGUUAAAGAGAGAGAGAGUUGCUGUAGCAAUCGAAUGAGAGCAAAGGAAAGAGGAUACCAGAGAUUUUAAGAUAAAACUUUUUGGACUCCCCUUUUAAAUAGAAAACAUGUUUGUGUGUGUACGUCCCAUCAUCCUUCUCCUCUUCAUCAACUUUCUCGACCUUUCAUCGUCAUCAUCAUCAUCAUCAUCAUCAUCUCAGAAUGCCACUAGACCCCGUUCCCAUUCCUCUGAAGAAACAGAAGAUUACAAUGUACUCGAAGACACUACCACUGAGCCUCCCAGCUCAUCCUCCACUACCCCUGAAGACAGAGAACUCGAUUUUUGCGACUACAGCAUGUGUAUUGAGUAUCAGAAAACCUGCGCAGACCUUGCAGAAGGCUGCCUCUGCCCGGGGUUGGAAAGUUUCCAUCCCCCGAGUCCACCGUUAAUCUCGAAUCUGACUCAACAGGGUGACAAAGGGGUUGUGGUGUACUGGUGUGCUCCGACCUCCAUUGUCACCCACUACAAAGUCUUGGUGAAAGGCAAGGACAGAGUUAUUCAUUGGGAGACAGAGGUGGAAGAGAAAAAAAGGGCAAUAGCAUUGCGGGAUGUGGCGGCUGGUGCGCUCGUGUGUGUAGUAGCGGUGAAUAAGUUCGGCAACAGCACAGAGACGUGUAACACAUUUGAACCCCAACGUCCAGGCUCUGGACUUGCGCUGAAGCUGGGCAUAAUUGGAGGUGUGGUGGGACUCAUAGUUCUGCUGAUUCUGGCUCUGCUGCUGUGGAGACACAAAAAACGGCGGGAAUCUUCAGAGACAAGGGGAGUUCUGUAACAGAGAGGAAGGAGCGUGCGUGUGUGUGGGGCCAUAAAUAUGCACUUAAUCUUGGAAUGCAUGAUAGGAGUAAAUGAAUGACUGUGGACUGAUAGCCCACUGUGAGCAUGCUGGAUAGAGGGGGAGUGUAUUAAUGACUCAAUGAAAGAGGGGUGCAGAGAAGGUGGACGAAUGACUCAGCACAUUCUUCUCAUUUGGUCGUCAGUAGUGUCUAACAAUGUGAUUUUGGACAGGCACAAAUUGCAGACUGCUGGUGUGCUGACUCUAAUCAUGGGCACCAUUUCAAGUCCAAUUCCCAAAUCACCAACACACUUUAAACUUGUGUAUGUCUUGUGUAUGUUUAAACUUGAGGUUUUGCUACAAAAAAAUAUGAAGCUUACAAAAUAAUAAAAAAUAUUUUUUA